ACUCAAUAGAUACCCAGGUAGCCCACGCCCUAAACGAUGUCUACUAGUUGUCGGGUCUUAAUUGACUUGGUAAACGCAGCUAAACGCGUGAAGUAGACCGCCUGGGGAGUACGGUCGCAAGAUUAAAACUCAAAGGAAUUGACGGGGACCCGCACAAGCGGUGGAUGAUGUGGAUUAAAUUCGAUGCAACGCGAAAAACCUUACCUACCCUUGACAUGGAUGGAAUCCUUGAGAGAUUGAGGAGUGCUCGAAAGAGAACCAUUACACAGGUGCUGCAUGGCUGUCGUCAGCUCGUGUCGUGAGAUGUUGGGUUAAGUCCCGCAACGAGCGCAACCCUUGUCAUUAGUUGCUACGAAAGGGCACUCUAAUGAGACUGCCGGUGACAAACCGGAGGAAGGUGGGGAUGACGUCAAGUCCUCAUGGCCCUUAUGGGUAGGGCUUCACACGUCAUACAAUGGUACAUACAGAGGGCCGCCAACCCGCGAGGGGAGCUAAUCCCAGAAAGUGUAUCGUAGUCCGGAUUGUAGUCUGC
rnacentral:rRNA from 1 species